AGGUUCCAGGCCUCUCACUGCAGGGCACCUCUAACUGGACCUGCAUCCCUUGUCCGCAGCACACGUCCCCAUUCCCCAGUGUCUUCCUCAGCACCUCAUGGUGACACCCCUGGCUCUGAUGCUCCUUUUGGCCUCGUUGCUCAGGAAAUACAAUCCAGGCUCAGACUCCAGGCCACAAAACAGCUCCAUGGCUGACCUGGGAGUCAUACUUAUGCCUCGCAAUGGCCCCAUCUUUGCACAGCUCUGCUUUGAGAAAGAAGCUCCAUAUGGUUAAAUGAGUGUAUGAAAAGGUAGAGAUUUAUAGCUUCAGGAUUGUAUCCAGGCUGUUAUGACGAUUUAGAGUUGGGUCAGAACCAAAACCUUUGAUCAAGCACAGAGAUUUGGGUGGUAUUUGAAAUCUGGAUCCACUUCUGAAGUCUCCAUCUGACUCAUCUCUAGCUGCAGACACAGUGUUUUACAGUUUUAUUUCUAUUCCAGAGGGACAUUUUCAUGCAUGCCUUGUAGCAGACAGAGGAGGUGGAGAUCUCUAUAUGAUUUAUAUGCAAGGUAAUGCAUACAUAACUACAUCUCUAUUUCUCUAGCACAUAGCAAGAUAUAAAUUUAACUUUAUUCAUUUGCUGCACUAGGAAACAAUACAGCUCCCUUGGCAACACACCAGCCACAGACAGAAGCUAGGUAGAAGAGAGAUUCAAAGCCAGUCUCCUAAUUGACUUCUUGAAGUCAUAAACCAUUUGUAUCCGGAGCAGUAAUGAUAGUAAACAGAUAGUUUAGAGACAGUAGAGAAAAAAACCCCAGCAGGAAUAUUGACCUAGGGGAAAUCCGGAACACUUCACAUGUUGCCCAAGAAGCAGCAUUUCUUGGCUUUCUUUGGUAGAGUGCUCUGCUAGUAAGGCCGUUGAAAGCAAAUUCCCAAACAUUCGAUAUUCUAAAAGGUUAAGACUUCUAUAUUUUUUAAAAACUGGUAAUUUAAUCUCUGUGUAACAGAAGAUUGUAUUACCCUGGAAGAAAAGUAAUUUAUUUAGCUGGGAAUAGAUGACCUUGCUGAAUAUGAUUCACUUAUCUGUGGUUUCAGGUGAACAGCUUUUUUUUUACAUUGAUCGGGAGCACGAGCUGUUUGGCUGGCUCUGGCAGGAAAAGAAAUGUUUUCUGGAAAAAAAAAAAAAGGCAAUGGCUAAUGGUUGCUUCUUUUUGUGGAAAAUAUGAAUUCUAACAGGUGUAAAGCAGAAGAAAAUGAAUGUGAAAGCAAGAACACAUUUACAUAUGCUAUUUUGAGAGCUCUGGGAGGAACUGAAUCAGUUUCUGCAUGGAAAAGCAGCAGCACAUGCACCCAGUGGGAUAUUUCUGUUCUUUAACCAGCACACACAUCUUCCUGAGGGGCUAUACAGUGAUACUGAACCACACUUUGAAUUCCUAGCUAAAAACAUCAGAACAUGUCAGGGGACUGCAGCCAGCUCUGUGUACACAGCAGGACCGCUGUGCACAGUGACAGAGCUUCCUCUUCGCUGCUCCCUUCCCUGUCCUGGUUUGGCUGGAAUAGAGUUAAUUUGCUUUCUAGUAGCUAGUAUGAUGCUAUGUUUUGGAUUUAGGAUGAGAAUAAUGUUGAUAACACACUGAUGCUUUAUUUUAUGCUGAGCAGUUCUUGCAGAAUGAAGAAUGUUUCAGUUUCUCCUGGUACUCCGCCAGAGAGAAGGCUGGAGUGCAUAAGGUGCUGGAAGGGAACAGAACCAGGGCAGCUGACCUAAAUAGGCCAAAGAGCUAUCCUAUACCCGUCCAGUAUCCCAUCCCAUAUGACACCAUGCAGAAUUAUGGAAUUAUAAAACUGAAGAAGUUGACCAGGGGCAGAGGGCUGCCACUGCUUGAGAACUGGCUGGGCAUUGGGUGGUGAGCAAUUGCUUUGUGCAUCACUUGUUAUGCAUAAAAAUAAAUAAAUAAAUAAAUAAAUAAAUAAAAUUAUUCCCCCUUCCUUUUCUGCCCGAUUCAAUUGUUUUUAUCUCAGCCUAUGAGUUUUACUUUUUCCCAUUUCUCUCCACCAUUUCAAUGGAGGGGAGUGAGCAAACUGUGAGGUGCUGAUCUGUCAGCCAGGUUAUACCAUAACAGUCUCCCCUGAUCAGAGUGGUUCCUACUCCAGCCACUGUUCCACCUAUCUGCUGAAGCACUUAUGAGCAAGGUCAGAUUUGGGGUCCUUUGGGGUUACAGGCACAUAUUUCUCAGCUAUGCCACAGGAUCCUGUCUGCUAUUUAUCAGCUCCCAGAGACCUGACUGAGUAAUGAGUGCAGAUUUCCAGAUGGGCCUAUGUAACACAUCCUGAGAUGACAUAAACAACUGAGUAAGCCAAGCUAUAAGGAACCCUGCUUCCACAGUGAUUUUUACUGCAAUCUUCACUGCUCUACACCAUGUCCAGGGAGAGCAAGCCAGCCUGGGUUAUAGUGCUGAGAAAUCAUCACACUGAGCAGGGUCUGCUGUAUCUGGCCAGGAGGAAACGAGAAGAGAAAAGCAGGACUUCAAAGUUAAGUAAGUUCUCAAAGUCCUCUGAUGGCAACUCUAAGAUGUUGCCUCCUCCUGGAGCUAGGCUGUCCAGCAGGCCUGUCACAGAGCAGUCACAGCUGUCUGAAAAGAGACCAUACAUUUGAGAUACCUUGGCACAUAUGAGAAAGGUGUG
ensembl:lncRNA